AACGCGAAAAACCUUACCUACGCUUGACAUGUCUGGAAUCCCGAAGAGAUUUGGGAGUGCUCGAAAGAGAACCGGAACACAGGUGCUGCAUGGCUGUCGUCAGCUCGUGUCGUGAGAUGUUGGGUUAAGUCCCGCAACGACCCCAACCCUUGUCAUUAGUUGCUACGAAAGGGCACUCUAAGGAGACUGCCGGUGACAAACCGGAGGAAGGUGGGGAUGACGUCAAGUCCUCAUGGCCCUUAUGCGUAGGGCUUCACACGUCAUACAAUGGUCGGGUACAGAGGGUCGCCAACCCGCGAGGGCGAGCCAAUCCCACAAACCCCGUCUUAGUCCGGAUUGCAGUCUGCAACUCGACUGCAUGAAGUCGGAAUCGCUAGUAAUCGCGGAUCAG
rnacentral:rRNA from 1 species